GAGUUUGAUCAUGGCUCAGGAUGAACGCUAGCGGCAGGCUUAAUACAUGCAAGUCGUGGGGCAGCAUGACUGUAGCAAUACAGUUGAUGGCGACCGGCAAACGGGUGCGGAACACGUACACAACCUUCCUUUAAGUGGGGGAUAGCCCAGGGAAACUUGGAUUAAUACCCCGUAAUAUAUAGAGACGGCAUCGUUUUUAUAUUAUAGCAGCAAUGCGCUUGAAGAUGGGUGUGCGGCUGAUUAGAUAGUUGGCGGGGUAACGGCCCACCAAGUCGACGAUCAGUAACUGGUGUGAGAGCACGACCAGUCACACGGGCACUGAGACACGGGCCCGACUCCUACGGGAGGCAGCAGUAAGGAAUAUUGGUCAAUGGACGCAAGUCUGAACCAGCCAUGCCGCGUGGAGGAUGAAGGUCCUCUGGAUUGUAAACUUCUUUUAUCUGGGAAGAAAAAGGGAUUCUUUCCGUCUGACGGUACCAGAUGAAUAAGCACCGGCUAACUCCGUGCCAGCC
rnacentral:rRNA from 1 species